ensembl:lncRNA
GGGAUCAUUAGCGUCAUCAUGCGCAUGCCCAGAACCACUAGGUAGCAAAAUCAGGAAGCAGAAAUUGGCAGAACACGUGUUCGUCAAAAAGCUCUAGAAUAUUUAGUUGCAGGUGUCCGGCCGCCAUCCCCUAUUCACGUGCUUUUAUGUAUUGGAGAACCUGCUCAGCAAGCUGCAGUCUGCAACUUCUGCGGGAGGUAUGUUUAAUUCAAAUCCAGUACUGUUGCAUUUCAGCAAAAGCACAAGGGUGAAAGUCUUUGGUCUCCUUCAACUCCUGAGCAACAACAGCAGUGGCAUCUUCCCCUUCUUUCCCCUAAGGCUGUAGCUGCUCCAAACAAAGUUUGAGGCCACAGAGCGCAACACCCUCCUCACACACUCCCCAGGAUUGGACCCCCCAACUAGGCUCAGAUGGGAAAUCUAAGGAAAUCAAACAACCAUGGUUAAGGACUUUGUCUCCGCCCUCUUGUUCCUCCUGACGGCCUGAUCCCAAUCAUCUAAACAGUCAGCAUUCGCGGCGAUUCAAAAUAAAAGAAGAAUUGGACCUCUGCCUACCAUGCUCCAUUGGCUGUCCAGCGCAUUCCUCCAGCCUUUUCACCACUUGUGACAGGGGGCAUCUUCCACUCCUUACCAUCCUCUUUAUUUUCUUGAGACAAUUUUCAAAUUUAAAAGCGCUACAAUUGUCCAAUCCUCCAAAGGUCACGGCAUCCUCCACAAUGUGCAACAUUGAGUGCACGUUGUAGACCAGAAACUGGUUACCAUAAAGUUCUCGGCCUCUCUCAACAAAGAAUCGAAGGAGAUCAGCAGCAUAUCUCCAGUGUUGCUCGACCAAUGCUGGACUUACAAGUAUGUUCAUUGCCACACUGAAUGUCAUGAAGUGGCUGAAAAAUUCAUCUUUAAGGACCCCCUUCAGCACAAUCUUUCCUGUAUAUAACAUAAACUGCCUAUGUUCCGUUGCCUUCCAUCUCUCAAGCUCUUUAAGAUCUCGAGCGAAGCUGGAAGGGAUGUGUGGACGGAGGUUGGUGAGCCUGCUGCUGACCUCCUCUAUUUGGGUUGCCGACAUCUUCAGGCCCUUCACUCCUCUGCACCACAUGAAGAGAAGCCUCUUCAUUACAACCAAGCAUGCCUGGUGCAUGUAAUCGAUGGGAAAUGCACUGAUCAUGUUUAUGGGUAAAUCCAAAAG